UGUAGAGAGGGGUGAAGGUUGC
rnacentral:miRNA from 1 species